AUAUUACCGAAGCUGUGGACUACACCAUUAGGUGUAGUGGUAGGAGAGCGUUCUAAGGGCGUUGAAGGUCGAUCGUGAGGACGGCUGGAGCGCUUAGAAGUGAGAAUGCCGGUAUGAGUAGCGAAAGACAGGUGAGAAUCCUGUCCACCGUAUGACUAAGGUUUCCUGGGGAAGGCUCGUCCGCCCAGGGUUAGUCGGGACCUAAGCCGAGGCCGAUAGGCGUAGGCGAUGGACAACAGGUUGAUAUUCCUGUACCAGUUGUUUUUGUUUGAGCAAUGGAGGGACGCAGUAGGCUAAGGAAUGCAUGCGAUUGGAAGUGCAUGUCCAAGCAAUGAGUCUUGAGUAGAGUUAAAUGCUUUACUCUUUAAGGACAAGUUGUGACGGGGAGCGAAAUAAUAGUAGCGAAGUUCCUGAUGUCACACUGCCAAGAAAAGCUUCUAGUGAGAAAACAACUGCCCGUACCGUAAACCGACACAGGUAGUCGAGGAGAGUAUCCUAAGGUGAGCGAGCGAACUCUCGUUAAGGAACUCGGCAAAAUGACCCCGUAACUUCGGGAGAAGGGGUGCUGACUUCGGUCAGCCGCAGUGAAUA
rnacentral:rRNA from 1 species